rnacentral:lncRNA from 14 species
CAUCACUUUGGGGCUCAGCAUCCCACACCCCUCCCUCCUUUCCCCACAGGGUACCAGUGGCAUUGAUGGACCACCAGGACCUAAAGGCAACGUGGUGGGUACCACUGGGAUCCCCCCCCCCAAUCUGGAUUAACUGGGAUACUCCUGGAAGUGCACAUCCCCCCUCGGAGGGGGUUUCUCUGCACUAACGGAUAUUCCCUGCCCUUCCUUAGGGAAUCCAUGGGGAGCCAGGAGCCCCAGGGCAGCAAGGGAACCCUGGUCCCCAGGGUCUGCCUGGUCCCCAGGGCCCCGUGGGGCUGCCAGGGGAGAAGGGCCUGCUGGGAAAGCCGGGAAUGCCGGGCAUCGCUGGAGCCCAUGGGCCCCCUGGGCAUCGGGGCCGGGAAGGGCCAGCAGGAGAGAAGGGCCUGCAGGUAACUGGGGGGGGGGCUCAGGUCUAUUGCUAUGGGAUGGGGGAA